CUUGGUCAUUUAGAGGAAGUAAAAGUCGUAACAAGGUUUCCGUAGGUGAACCUGCGGAAGGAUCAUUAUUGAAUAAACUUGGUUGGGUUGAUGCUGGCUCCUCGGAGCAUGUGCACGCUCAUUCCACUUUUAACCACCUGUGCACCUUGUGUAGAUCUGAACAACUCUCGGGGUAACUCGGCUAGAGAAUUGCUGUGUGUAAAAGCCAGCUUUCCUUGCGUUCAGAUCUAUGUCUUUAUAUACCCCAUAGAAUGUAACGGAAUGUAAUUGAUAGGCGUUACUGCCUUUAAAAUCAAAUACAACUUUCAACAACGGAUCUCUUGGCUCUCGCAUCGAUGAAGAACGCAGCGAAAUGCGAUAAGUAAUGUGAAUUGCAGAAUUCAGUGAAUCAUCGAAUCUUUGAACGCACCUUGCGCUCCUUGGUAUUCCGAGGAGCAUGCCUGUUUGAGUGUCGUGAAAUUCUCAACCUAUCUGGCUUUUACAAGUCGGUUAGGCUUGGAUUAUGGAGGUUGCUGGCUUCCCCGAAAUCAGCUCCUCUUAAAUGUAUUAGCAGCGUCUUCGCUGAUCAUCUUUGGUAUGAUAAUUAUCUAUACCAUCGACAAUCAGCUUUCCAUUGUGGAAGGGUUUUGCUUCUAAUCGUCUGCAAAGACAAUUUUGACAAUUUGACCUCAAAUCAGGUAGGACUACCCGCUGAACUUAAGCAUAUCAAUAAGCGGAGGAAAAGAAACUAACAAGGAUUCCCCUAGUAACUGCGAGUGAAGCGGGAAAAGCUCAAAUUUAAAAUCUGGGUAGCCUUUGGCUAUCCGAGUUGUAAUCUAGAGAAGUGUUAUCCGCGCUGGACCGUGUACAAGUCUCCUG
rnacentral:rRNA from 1 species